GAACCUAAAAGUGCUCUAAAAAAUAAAGUCUACUUUUAAAAAUAUUUGCUGUAUGUUCAGCUACUGUAUGUUCAGGUACUUAAACCUAUACAGGUGCUUUUCUUCUCAGGGCCCAAGAGGAUCGUCUUGGGUGGAUGCUGCCACCUGGUGGCCAGUAUGGGAAGCUUUAAAAAGUUCCUUGAUAGAGGGAAGUGUGUCUGGUUCAGCCCUGGAAUACCGGUGCCUCCUAGGCGUUCUGCAAAUAGUAGCUGAAUGAACGAAGGAACCAAUCCACCCGAGGCAAAAUCAUCAGCAUGAAGUCGUUAGUGUAGGUGUGUGUAUCCUACAGCCACAGAAUGAAAUAUAAAAUUGGAAAAUUGAAGCGUCCGGGACCCUGAGGAACAGAAUCGUGAGCCCUUGAUGGCGAGGUUGGAUGCGUGUUGUAUUGAGAAAGUAUUGUAAUCGCGGGAGGAGGGAUCCAGACGGGAGGAGGGAUCCAGACGAUGGAGGAGUAAGCGAGGCGCUCACUUUCUCUCACAAACGCAUCAGUAAAAACCCCAUCUACAUGUAGAAGGAGUCGUACAGAAUAUCUCAGGAACGCUGUCAGAAGACCUGAAGCCUCCCCAAAGGGCAAGAAACCCUGCACAUAACUGGGUAGAACAAAAGGAAAAUAAAAAACGGGAGAGAGAGUGGAGGAAUCAGGAUGGGACUAGCACGCCCGAGAGGGAGCUGCGAAAGAGGGCAGGAACCCACAGUGUGGGAAGCCACCUGACCGAUGGGGAGAUCAGCAGAGACGAAGGAAGCUCAAAGUCUCGGAGAAAAAGGCAGCAGCUGGAUUAAAGAGGGCAGAGCAGAGUGAGAGCUGCACAGACCCUCUGUACCACCUCCCAGGACACCACAGCCUGAGUCACUCGGGUGGCGACUGGGCGCUAAGAAAGCUUUGGAAUUGUGGAUAAAAAAAA